GGGGACAGAGCCGCGGGGACAGCCGGCAGGCACGGGAGGGCCUCGGGGAGGCGGCACCGAGCUCCCCAAAGCCUCGCUGGCGCUCUACACCCUGACUAAGGAAAGAGAUUCCCAAGUACAGCACAAAGCAGCAGAGCUGCAGAACAGCACAUGCAAUAUCUGCUCCAACACUUCAUCAGCCAAGGAUCCUUUAGAGAUGAUCCUCUGCAGUAAAGGCUUUCCGUCACUUGUGAAGAUUUAAUUCUAUCAGCAAAACCCUCACCAACAAAAACAAGUUUCUCCAGUUCUCAGAAGUUAACAAGUGUUUUCCUGGCACAAGCUAUUUCUCCAUAAAUGUAAAAGCUGAUUUCCUAGACAUUAGAACAGGAUCUUUAAUUAAUCCUUAAUGUUGCCUUAACUCAUUACCAAAUCCCAGGACAAACACAGGCCUCAUCCAAAAGCUCAAAAUCACUGUAAAAACCUGAAGUUACGGUCUCAAACCAACACAUUUCCUUUUUAGAAAUACAGGAAGAUGCAGUAGUUACAAACAGUCCAUUUAUUGGGUCUUAAACUACGUACACAAUUGAAAUCAUAAUUUUGGCACUACGCUAUACAGUGGUUACAUCCAUGUGCUGACACUCCUUAAAUACUGCCCCAGGAGCACUGCUGUGCUUGGAAGUUUGGGAUGAGCCACACAAAGGUCUCAGUGCUCCUGGGGGGUUUUGCAUGAAAGAUGAAACACACAGCAGUUUAUGAGUUAUUUCCAUGUACCUCACGUUCUCUGAAUGGAUCACACCAGAAUAUGUGAUGUCAGCAUGGAGAAAUGGCCACACGUGUUGCAGUAAAAUCUGAAUGAGACGCAGUCAUGAGAUACAGGAAAAGCAAAACAAACCCUCUCAGACACAAAGAGAUAUUCUGUUAAAGAAAAUAAUUUAAAAAACUAAGAAUGGCAUUUGUUUUGAUACAAAAGCCAGAACCACUACUGUAUUAACAUCUAAGUAUGAAUCUUUACAAAUUAAUCUCACAAUGGUGUUAUGUAAAAGGUUGCAAACUGUACAAUGUUUUGUCAAUGCAAUGCCUCUACAAUUUAUACAGUCUUUUACAACUAUGUAACACAUAUUAAACAGCUUGUUAAACAGCCAA